AACCCUGAUUUCUGAUGGUCAUAAUGCAGUAGCGCCACCUGAUUCCAUGCCGAACUCAGAAGUGAAAUGCUGUGAUGCCGAUGGUAGUGUUGGGUCUCCCAAUGUGAGAGUAGGUCACCAUCAGGU
rnacentral:rRNA from 1 species